CCUGUCGGUGUAACUGGCAUGUCGCGGCAUGUCUUGUCGGUGGUGAACGGGAUUCCCGGUACAGUUUAGGCUUUUAUUGCCAAGCAUGCAUCGAGUGUAUUCCCGUUUACCGAUCUCUCCUACUUCGGGGCUCUUAAACGAGUGUCGAGGUAGGCCGACACGUUCACUUUGAACAAAUUAGAGUGCUUAAAGCAGGCUAAAAUAUCUGCCUGAAUAGUGGUGCAUGGAAUGAUAAAACAGGACCUCGGUUCUAUUUUUUUGGUUUUAGGAAUAUGAGGUAAUGAUCAAUGUGGACAGGCGGGGGCAUUCGUAUUGCGACGUUAGAGGUGAAAUUCUUGGAUCGUCGCAAGACGCACUAGAGCGAAAGCAUUUGCCAAGUAUGUCUUAAUUGAUCAAGAACGAAAGUUAGAGGUUCGAAGGCGAUCAGAUACCGCCCUAGUUCUAACCAUAAACGAUGCCAGCCAGCAAA
rnacentral:rRNA from 1 species